UAAGCUCCUUCUCUUUCUUUUUCCUUUUCAGGGUUCGAUGGCGGGUAUCAAGAGUUAGGACCACUGAUGGCCGCCAAUGGACAAGGUUCUUCCCAAAGAGCCAGGACAAACAAAAGGCAGUAUGUCGACACCACAAAAACAAUCGACGAAAAAAAGGUGGAUACCUAACCUCGAAAUGAGCUCAAUUCAACGAGGGAUCCUGCACUGCAACACUAGGCGAGAAAACCGCGGAAUCUAAUUAUGUCGCCUCGUCGUCCGUCUGUCUGUCCGGAGUUUAUAGUGACGUCUAUAGGGAAGAUACCAAGUCACGCUGGUAUAGCAGUGACGGAAAAUCUGCGCCUCCCUCGAUGGAUUGGAUGUGCGAUGGUGUGGCUCUUUACUCCAAAAAUUCUGCCAGGACUUAAUUUUUUAAGAUUAUUCUUACUUUUCGUUGUAUUUAUUAAGUUUUGUUUCAAGCUUAAUUCAGUUUCGUUUUGUUUUAAUUUUAAUUCUUUUUUAUUGUGUUUAAACUUAAUUCAGUUUUGUUUUGUUUAAACUUAAUUCCGUUUCAAGUCUUUCCUUUUUGUUUAAAAUUUUGCCAAACUUUAAGAUGUUUAUUUAGUUUUUGUAUAACUAUUAAGAAUACUUUCAGUUUUAGUUCUUAAAUGUUCACAUUUUAGCUUUUUAAAUUUUACAUUUUUGGGCUAAGAUUGUUUAAAGCCUUUUUAGCAAAAAAAAACAAGUUUGGAUUUUGUCUUCUUUGCAUGUAUUUUGUUGAACACAUCAAAUUAAUAAAUGUAAUUCCUUUCACUUAUGGAAUUUAUCGCCAAAAAAAUGCCGGGUGUUUUACUUCGCUGGGAGCUGGGAGCCACGCAUCCAAUCUUCUUCGCUGAUGAGAUAAAAAGGAAAAAAUUUCCUUACAAUUUCUGCCAGGAAAUUCUGGCUGCCAUUUUCCUCGUUUAAUUUGUCCAUUUUCUUUUUAAAUUAUUCCCCCUUAUUGACAUUUAAGUCAUUGGAAUAAACAGCUGUUCCCUAAUAAUGGUUGACAACAUUCUUCUUCUUCUUCUGGCUAUCAAUUAUUUUCAUGGUUACCCCUUUUUAAGGCGCACACCACAAAGCCAACUAUCCUGCUGAUAUCCUUAUCGAAGGAUAGGGGGAAAAAAGUGCGACAUUCGAUAUAAAAAUAAAAAAAAAUCAUCGUGUAUGAUACGGCAAUUGAAAAAAAAAAUCGAUGUUUGGCAUCCCUAACAAUCGUGGUUUGGCAUCCCUAACACUCAUUUUCUGAUUUUCCAAAAUAAAAUUUAAUUCCGAACUGAUUUAUUUAUUACAGUGUAAACGCUCCAUUUUCGUCUAUACGAACCUGGUAUAAAGUUUACGUCAUACGCUACGCGUUAUCGUUUAGUCUGACGUAACGUAACUAUCGAUAGUAGUGAUGUUUAUGAAUGAAAACAAUCGGAGUACGAUUGUAUUGUAAAUUUUUGGCGGAUUAGCACGCGGACGGACGGACAAUUUUGGAGCUGCAGAAAUUAUUAAAUUUUGGGUAAGUAAAGUGAAAAAAAUUAUAGUGAAAUAUUUAAUAAUUUAAUAAAACAAGUGCCAGUGCCGGGUAAGUUAUAAUAAUGUAUGUAAUUAAAGUGAUUUAAGUGCAAAAGAAAUGAAUGAAAAUUAUCAGUGACAUACAGUGCGGGUGUAUGUGAUAAUAGUAAAUGGCAAAUAGUUGCAUGAAAAAUUAAUCCGUAUAAAUCUUAGAAAAUAAUAAAGAAAAUUAAAAGAAUACAAGGAAAUAUAAUAACAAAGUGGUUUAAAUGAAACAAUUAAAAUUAAUUUCCUGAAAUUAAUUUAAUUUCCUAGCCCAAAAAAAAAAUUAAUGAUUUCCCUUCAAUGUGUGUGUGUGUGUGAGUGUAAGUAAAAGUUGCAUUUACAAUGAAAAAUUGCACUCAUUAAGAAAAAAUGUGACUUUGGCGGAAACAAUAAGUUCGAAAUAAAUUCGAAGUGAGUGAAUAGUGAAUAAAAAUGGAACAGAUAAAGAAAAUAUAGAAUUAAGGAAUGAGUGAUAAGUGCGAAUGAAAUUAAAAUGAUAAUGUUGCCAAAAGAAAAGAAAAUUGAAAUAGUGAAAACAAAACAAAAUGCAAAAACGAAUAAAGUGAAAAGUGAGGUGCAAAAGGAAUAAUUAAUGAUCAUUGUCGGAAAUUAAUAAUUACUAGUGAAAAAUUAAGACAGACCUAAAUUAUGUGUGCAAAUAUUGUGUUUAUUUUUUUUUCUUUAAAGACAAAAAGUGCGAAAAAUUGAAUUGAAAUGAACAAAAAAAAAUUAAAAAGUAUUUUUUACUAGUUAAGAAUUGUGCGAAUCAAUGUCUAAACAAUGAAUGAAAAAGAAAAGUGAAUGAAAAUGAAAUUGAAAAUAGUGUGAAUUUAAUGAAAAUAAAUUUUCUUUUAAGAAUUUGGCUUAGGUAAAACUGAAGUGAAAAAUUAUGUGAAAUAUCCUGAAUUUUGAUAUAAAAAAUUAAAUUUUAAUAAAAAAAGAAAAUUUUUACAGGAAAAAAAAUAGAAAAAACUUAUAUAAAUCGGACGGACGUAAAAAAAAAGCAACUAUUGUGUCUAUUUUUAAUAACAAAAUGUGAAAAAAAAAAUUCAGUGCAAUAAAAAUUUUUGCAAGAUUUUAAAGAAGAGAAAAAAAAUUGAAGUGUCGUAAAAAUGAAAUAAAAUAAUAAGCAAUGAUAUUAAAAAAAUUAUUGUGAAUUAACGAAUAAGUUACCGAAAAUAUUAUAUAAAAUUGGGCUUCGGUGAAUUUGAUGUGACGAAUAAAGUGAAAUAUUCUAAAAUUUUAACGGAAUUAAAUUGAAAGAAAUAAAAAAAAUUACAAAAAUAAAUAAAUUCUCUCUUCGUUUUAAUUUAAAUCAUAGUCCACCGUUAGGACACAGAACUAAUACUUAUUUUCUUUUUCUUCUCUUUACAGAUUUUUUUUUUGCACGAGUUUAGCCUGAAAGAAAGGUGAGUUGAGCAUGGUGUCUACUUUUUCCGUAGGGGUACCAUCAACUAGGACCCCCAGCUUUGGUCAGAAAGUUGGAUACGACAUUACUCCAAAUAUACCUAGGUGUGUUUGGUUUUGUCUUCCCGAUUUCAGACUCUAUCUUCAUAAUUCGAUGACUGACAGCUCUGCGACCUUGUGUACAACACUCUUCUGCCUUGUGCCAUGGAUGCGUAUGGGUAUACAAAGGAAGAGUGCACAAAUGGUCAAAGACAGUCAUAAAUUGACUGCUCAGGAAUCGUUAACAUAUUGUUAGAGUCCGUAAAUUUGGGAUGCUUCUAUCGUAAUCCAGCGUAUUCUUUCUGACCUCUGCUGUUGGUGUCUAGGAGAGUGGCCUCCUAUGGAAACCAAGAAAAGUUUUCCAUAAUCUCACAAGACAACCCAAAAAGUUGCCCGAAUUGGAUAUCUAAUUCACAAAAGGCAUUCAUUACCUUUAGGCGGUGGAAUUGGUCUGACCUGCAAAAACAGGAAAUACAAUGGAUGGUAAGUCCGAGCAAUCCUGUUCUACUUUUCUUCCAGCAGGUGUACCAUCGCCUGGACCUUCAGCUUUAGCCAGAAUGUCGGAUACGAUGGCUUACGAAUGCACUGAGGUGUAUUUGUUUCUUUUUGUCUACCGGCUUCCAGACUCUAGCGUCGUAAGGCGAGUGACGGACUGAUCUGCGACCUCGUGUACAACAGUUCCCUGGCCCGUGCCAUAGAGCAAACGGCUACUGCGGUACCUAUCGCGAAAGGGGAAUUGCACUAAUGGUCAAGGACAGUCACUACGUGACUGCUCCGAAAGCGCAGACAUCAGCUAGAGUCGGCAAACCCGGAGUGCUUUGAUUCGUACUCUGACUUCGAAAUUCUGACUUCUGCUGUUAGAGUCUAGGAGAUUGGACGCCUGUUCGAAUAAAAAAACAGGGUUCCGAACUACACCAUCAUCCAAAAUUCUAAGCGAGACCUAAGUGGGACUACGGUCGGCGCUAAGAUAAACGUAAGAUGUAGUUUUAAUUCUCUUUCGUAGUUUUUGUAAUUUUGCUCUGGAAAAUGAGAAAAAUUAUGAGAACUCUAUUUCUUAUAAACAUAAAAUUUUUAAAAAAUUUCAGCCAAACCCCUUUGUAAGUAUGGCAUUUCAUUUCUAAUUUCUUUUCUUUCUUUUGAGAUGUUCAUUUCAUUACAUUUAUUUUUCCAACCAUAUUACCUCAUGACAUUUCACUAAUUCCUUCUUUUUCCUUUACUUUUAUGGCUAAAAAUUGGAGAAUUGGGUUCAACCCUUACCCAUACACUCAACUACACAUCACUUAUGAAGAGAAAGCUGCCCUACAGCUUGUAUCAACUUAGGAAUAAUAAAGGACAUUUCGUAAGUCGUAAUUCAGGUAGUACUUCAACUAAAUUCGAACGGAUUUCCCGGAACUCUUGGAAAAUUCAGGCCCUUUGAAAAUUGACACGGCGUAUCAACCCUUCAAGCCGAAAUUGACUGAAAAAAAUAAAUAAAUGCUAAAGAUAGGUGGUGGGAUAAAAGGUAAACUUAAAGGGUUUCGGUGAGUUCUACUGGAAAAAACUGAGGAAUUUAACUGGAAUAUGGAAUAGGCGGCUUUCCCCAGACCUUCCUAAGAAAUUCCAUGACAAUACGGCCCCUGGUCAAAAACCAAGAUUGUCGCAGGACCAAAGGAAAACUCCGGGUUCGAUGGCGGGUAUCAAGAGUUAGGACCACUGAUGGCCGCCAAUGGACAAGGUUCUUCCCAAAGAGUAAGCCAGGACAAACAAAAGGCAGUAUGUCGACACCACAAAAACAAUCGACGAAAAAAAGGUGGAUACCUAACCUCGAAAUGAGCUCAAUUCAACGAGGGAUCCUGCACUGCAACACUAGGCGAGAAAACCGCGGAAUCUAAUUAUGUCGCCUCGUCGUCCGUCUGUCUGUCCGGAGUUUAUAGUGACGUCUAUAGGGAAGAUACCAAGUCACGCUGGUAUAGCAGUGACGGAAAAUCUGCGCCUCCCUCGAUGGAUUGGAUGUGCGAUGGUGUGGCUCUUUACU